UAAUUAAUUCCAUGAUAUUAUGCCAUGACAUUGUGUCAAUAUGCGAUGAUGUGUUGUGAUGGCACAGCGUCAUCACGUGGUGACGCAACAUCAUGACGUAAGACAUCACAUCGCCAAUUAA
rnacentral:pre_miRNA from 7 species